rnacentral:lncRNA from 1 species
GGAACCUGCUCUCCAUCCUCCCAUCUGCCAGGGAUGAAAACGCUCUCAUCACUUGGACACACCCUAAAUCCAGGGAGGACUGAUGAGAAUACAAACACAAGUUGCCAUGUGCUAUGGGCUGAACUGAAUCCCUCCCAAAUUCCUGCGUUGAAGCCCUAAUCCCCUGUACCUCAGAAUGUGACUAGAUUUGGAGAUCAGCCCUCUAAAGAGGUAAUUAAGGUAAAAUGAGGUCACUAGGCUGGGCCGUGAUCCAAUGUGACUGGUGUCCUCAAAAGGAGGCAAUGAGGACGACACACACAGAGGGCAGACCACAUGAGGACACAGCAACAGGAGACAUCUGCCAGACAAGGAGAGAGGCCUCAGAAGGAACCGACCCUGCCAGCACCUUGAUCUUGGACUUCCAGCCCUCACAACUGAUCAUCCUGCACGGGGCUUGGAUGUUGACAACAAGCUGAGCCUGUGUCCAUGGACCUACUAGAUGUUAACGACUUGGUUAGAAGAUGGGGGCAGUAGGAAAGCUCAUUUAGUGAGGGAGACACUGGUAUCACCAACCCUAGGGUUUGGAAAAGGAGAACAACCAAGAGGGGUGCUGGGGAGCAGGGCUAGAAAGAAGGGGAGGGGAGAAACUUAAGAAAUAAGAGAAAGAGGGAAGAAAAGGAGAGAGGGAGAGGGAUGUGAAAGAUAAGAGGAAGGGUCAGGCUGUCCCUGGUAGGGAAAACCAACGUGGCGGAGCAAGAAAAGUCCUCCACACCCUAUUCCAGCCCCAUGGGUGUCACUGCAAUCUGUGAUGUGCAAAGAACCUCUCUGAACUUAAGGAGUUACAAAACACCAGAGAGGUGAUUACUUUGUGUCUGCCCUCAGCCUUCACUUCUCUUAUUAUCUGCAAUAGACUAAAUAAUUAUGCCCCCCACUCCAAAGUCAUAUGCUGAAAUCCUAACCCUCAAGGUGACAUUAGGGGUAAGAUCUUUGGGGGGUGUUGAGGUCAUGAGGGUGGAGCCAAAUAAUUAUUCCCCCCACCCCAAAUUUCCUUAUACUGAAAUCCUAAAGCCCAAGGUGAUAUUAGGGGUGAAAGCUUUGGGGGCUGUUGAGGUCAUGAGUUGGAGCCUUCAUGAAUGGGACUAGUGCUAUUAUAAAAGAGACCCCAGAGAGAUCCCUCUCCUAUUCCACCGUGAAGACUCAGCAAGAAGGCGCCAUCUAUGAACCAGGAAGUGGCCCUCGCCACACACCAAAUCUGCUGGCGACUUGAUCUUGGACUUUCCAGCCCCCAGAACUGUGAAAAAUAAA